GGCGGCGUGCUUAACACAUGCAAGUCGAGCGGUAAGGCCCUUCGGGGUACACGAGCGGCGAACGGGUGAGUAACACGUGGGUGAUCUGCCUCGCACUUCGGGAUAAGCCUGGGAAACUGGGUCUAAUACCGGAUAUGACCAGGGACUGCAUGGUUUUUGGUGGAAAGAUUUAUCGGUGCGAGAUGGGCCCGCGGCCUAUCAGCUUGUUGGUGGGGUAAUGGCCUACCAAGGCGACGACGGGUAGCCGGCCUGAGAGGGCGACCGGCCACACUGGGACUGAGACACGGCCCAGACUCCUACGGGAGGCAGCAGUGGGGAAUAUUGCACAAUGGGCGAAAGCCUGAUGCAGCGACGCCGCGUGAGGGAUGACGGCCUUCGGGUUGUAAACCUCUUUCGACAGGGACGAAGCGCAAGUGACGGUACCUGUAGAAGAAGCACCGGCCAACUACGUGCCAGCAGCCGCGGUAAUACGUAGGGUGCGAGCGUUGUCCGGAAUUACUGGGCGUAAAGAGCUUGUAGGCGGUUCGUCGCGUCGUUCGUGAAAACUUGGGGCUCAACCCCAAGCUUGCGGGCGAUACGGGCGGACUAGAGUACUUCAGGGGAGACUGGAAUUCCUGGUGUAGCGGUGAAAUGCGCAGAUAUCAGGAGGAACACCGGUGGCGAAGGCGGGUCUCUGGGAAGUAACUGACGCUGAGAAGCGAAAGCGUGGGUAGCGAACAGGAUUAGAUACCCUGGUAGUCCACGNCGUAAACGGUGGGUACUAGGUGUGGGUUUCCUUCCACGGGAUCCGUGCCGUAGCUAACGCAUUAAGUACCCNGCCUGGGGAGUACGGCCGC
rnacentral:rRNA from 1 species